AACAGUUGGAAACGGCUGCUAAUACCCCAUAAGCCGAGAGGUAAAAGGAUUUAUCCGGCAAAGGAGGCACUCGCGUCCUAUCAGCUAGUAGGUUGGGUAACGGCCGAACUAGGCGAAGACGGGUAGCCGGACUGAGAGGGCGAACGGACACACUGGAACUGAGAUACGGUCCAGACUCCUACGGGAGGCAGCAGUUGGGAAUAUUGGGCAAUGGGGGGAACCCUGAACCAGCGACGCCGCGUGGGUGAAGAAAUCCUUCGGGAUGUAAAGACCUGUUGUAUGGGAAGAGUAGAAAGACGGGUACCAUACGAGGAAGCCCCGGCAAACUACGUGCCAGCAGCCGCGGUAAUACGUAGGGGGCAAGCGUUGUCCGGAAUUACUGGGCGUAAAGCGCACGCAGGCUGACUUAUAAGUCGGGUAGUCUAAUGCGGAGGCUCAACUUCCGUUUAUCUAUCGAUACUGUAAGACUAGAGUAUGUGAGAGGGAAGUGGAAUUCCCGGUGUAAAAGGUGAAAUGCGUAGAUAUCGGGAGGAACACCAGUGGCGAAGGCGACUUCCUGGCACAAUACUGACGCUCAUGUGCGAAAGCUAGGGUAGCGAACGGGAUUAGAUACCCCGGUAGUCCUAGCCGUAAACGAUGGAUACUAGGUGUGGGUGUCGCAGGGCAUCCGUGCCGCAGCUAACGCGUUAAGUAUCCCGCCUGGGGACUACGGUCGCAAGACUGAAACUCAAAGGAAUUGACGGGGGCCCGCACAAGCGGUGGAGCACGUGGUUUAAUUCGAUGCAAACCGAAGAACCUUACCUGGGUUUGACAUGCAGGUGGUAGAGAG
rnacentral:rRNA from 1 species